rnacentral:tRNA from 1 species
GAGGGUAUAGCUUAGUGGUAGAGCACAUACUUAGCAUACAGGAGGUCCUGGGUUCAAUCCCCAGUACUUCCA